rnacentral:lncRNA from 1 species
AUGGAUCAGAUAGGGCCGUAGAGGGUGUGUGGGUAUGGACAACUAGUGGACAGAAGUUCUCAGUUUCUAAUUGGUUUACACGAACUUCAAAUGAACCGAAUAAUAUGAACGGAAAUGAGAAUUGUCUGCAAAUAUAUAACAAACAUGAUUAUGAAUGGAAUGAUGACAACUGUUUAACAAGACAUAAAUUUAUAUGUAGAAAAACGUAAGUAUUUCUUAUAUUCUAAUUUUGUAUCAUAAUGGGAAACUUUCUAUCGUCAUUUGUUUGUAAUGACUAAGAUGAGCAAAAUAAGUAGAAGCUUGACAUUUUAUCUUUUUAUACAAUUUAAAACACGAAUGCUGAAAAUAAGUAUUUGGAGUGAUGACACACAUUAUUUUAUUUUUAUCCAAACUAAAGCUAGGCCCACCUAUUGUAUGUGCUGUUUUUAUACAAGGUAAUGUACGGUUUUUUGUUUUUUGAUUUGUGUUUGUUUUUUUUUUUUUUUUGCUAUGUAUUUAUGCUUUUGUAAGCAUGAUAUAUUUACACGAUUUUUUCUAGUCAUAGAAAAGUUCAUAUCGUGUAUGCUUAUCAGUGAAUUUCUAUUUUCUUGGGACGGUCGUUUAUCUGUUUUCUCGCUAUAAGCAGAUAGAUGUCAGUCAAUCUCAUUGCAUAAAAUGACAUUUACCUAUUCCUUUGCUUCGUUAUACAAGGAGUUUUACUUGGGGUGCAUAUUGUUAGUUCUCAUUCAGGAGCAAUAUAUCUGAUCAUUUUAACAUCACUGGUUCGGAAAAUGAUCAGAAGGUACACUUUGUAGCAUCAUGACAUUAACACCGUUUUUACACAAAGCAUCUACUGUCUCUCCUUUAAUCUUUCAAAUAAUAAUUUUACUUCAAAACACCAGAAUAUAUGUUUAAAUUAUUAGAUGAAAAAUGUAUGUAUUUCUAUUUCAGAUUGUUGUGAGUUUUGCAUCAAAGAAAGAACUGUCCACUAGCUGACAUAAGAUAUCAAAAUUACAAAGUCAGAAAUUAUAUUCAAAAUUUAGGAAAAUGACACUGAUAUAUCCUCUCUUGUAUUGUUAGAUCUAGAGAUUUUUCGAAAAAAAUAUUACCUUUUUUUUACCUGGCCUGAUCACUCAUUCAAAUUGAACAGAUG